rnacentral:rRNA from 1 species
AGUGGACGCAUCACUGGUGUUCGGGUUGUCAUGCCAAUGGCACUGCCCGGUAGCUAAAUGCGGAAGAGAUAAGUGCUGAAAGCAUCUAAGCACGAAACUUGCCCCGAGAUGAGUUCUCCCUGAGACUUAGAGUCUCCUGAAGGAACGUUGAAGACGACGACGUUGAUAGGCCGGGUGUGUAAGCGCAGCGAUGCGUUGAGCUAACCGGUACUAAUGAACCGUGAGGCUUAACCUUACAACGCCGAAGMUGUU